rnacentral:rRNA from 1 species
UUAAUAAAAAUUUAUUAAUAUAUUUUAUUAGGUUUAUAAAGUAUUAAAAAUAAUUAUGUUAAAAAAUGUUUUAGUAAAUUAUAUUGAAAAAAUAAAUUUUAUGAUAGUGAAUUAGUAAUGUGAAUGAAUAUUGAAAUAUUGUGAAAAUUUAUUAUUAAAAAAGAAAAUUUAGUUUAUUGUACCUUGUGUAUCAGCGUUAAUUAAUUAAAAAAUAUAUAUUUAUUUUUCUCGAUUUUAAAAGAGUUAAUAAAUUAUUAAAGUUAUUGUAAUAAAAUUAUUUUAAAUAAUUUAUUAGAAAUGAAAUGUUUUUCGUUUUUAAAGGUAUCUAGUUUUUUUAGAAAUAAAUUUAAUUUAGAAUUUUUUGAAAUAUUUAUUUAUUCAGAUAAAUAAAUAAUUAAAAAAUUUAAUAUUUUAUGGGAUAAGCUGUAAAAUAAAUUAUUAUAAAUAAUAAAUAAUUAAAGAAAAAUAUAUGCUUAGAAUUAGCAAAUAUUAAUAAAUGUGUUAUAAUUUAUUUUAUUAUUUAAAUUAUUUAUUAAAUUUUAAGUUUUUAUAAAAAUAUUUAUAUUAAUUAAAAAUAUAAAAUAAUAAUGAUUAAAUUAGUAUAUUUUAAUGUAAGUUUAAAUUUAUUUGAAAGGUUUAUUUAAAGAACUCGGCAAAAUAGUAUUCGCCUGUUUAACAAAAACAUGUCUUUUUGAAUUAAAUUUAAAGUCUAACCUGCCCACUGAAAUAUUUUAAAUGGCCGCAGUAUACUAACUGUGCAAAGGUAGCAUAAUCAUUAGUCUUUUAAUUGAAGGCUGGUAUGAAUGGUUGGACGAAAUAUUAACUGUUUCAAAUAAAUUAAUUAUAGAAUUUUAUUUUUUAGUUAAAAAGCUAAAAUUUAAUUAAAAGACGAGAAGACCCUAUAAAUCUUUAUAAUUUAUUUUAUUUUAAAUAUAAAGAAUAAUUUAUUUAUUAAAAAUUAAAUUAUUUUAUUGGGGUGAUAUUGAAAUUUAAUAAACUUUCAAUUUAAUUAAUUCAUUAAUUUAUGAAUUAUUGAUCCAAUAUUAUUGAUUAAAAAUUUAAGUUACUUUAGGGAUAACAGCGUAAUUUUUUUGGAGAGUUCAUAUCGAUAAAAAAGAUUGCGACCUCGAUGUUGGAUUAAGAGAUAUUUUUGGAUGCAGCUGUUCAAAGGUUAAGUCUGUUCGACUUUUAAAUUCUUACAUGAUCUGAGUUCAAACCGGUGUAAGCCAGGUUGGUUUCUAUCUUUAAUGAAAUAAAAUAUUUUAGUACGAAAGGACCAAGUAUUUAAAUUAUAAAAUUUUAAAAAAUUGAAUUUUAGUAAUU